GUGACUGCGUACCUUUUGUAUAAUGGGUCAGCGACUUAUAUUCUGUAGCAAGGUUAACCGAAUAGGGGAGCCGAAGGGAAACCGAGUCUUAACCGGGCGUUAAGUUGCAGGGUAUAGACCCGAAACCCGGUGAUCUAGCCAUGGGCAGGUUGAAGGUUGGGUAACACUAACUGGAGGACCGAACCGACUAAUGUUGAAAAAUUAGCGGAUGACUUGUGGCU
rnacentral:rRNA from 1 species